ensembl:lncRNA
AAAACCUGCCAUUCAUCAUGACCCAGUAGUUCUCAAACAGGAAGUAAGCUAGUAGUCGUAACUAAAUAUUUUAAACCACUUGUCCCCCUCACAGACAGAGGGUGCUGUGUGCGUGUGAGCCUCACCAUGCGACCUGCUCACAGACAGUGUGUGACUCACCACGUCGACCUCCUCACAGACAGUGUGUUUGACUCACCACGUCGACCUCCUCACAGACAGGGUGUGUGACUCACCACGUCGACCCCCCUCCUCACGACAAGCGUGUGUGACUCCCACGUCGACCUCCUCACCAGACAGGUGUGUGUGACUCACCACGU